rnacentral:lncRNA from 1 species
UUCGUUUCAUUUCUUAGCGCAGUAGCUCUGGUAUGGAAGACUGACGAACAUGGGUGAAUAAGCUGGGAGGAAUGGACAGCACAGGUAAGAGUCCAAUCCCCUCUUAUUUUGUGGAGAAUUUUCAAUUCGUCUGACGUUUAGUUGUAUGAUUUGUCAAACUUUCAUUUGCUCAUUUGUUCUAUCUUUAUUUUUAUCUCUAUCGAGCUCGAUGUCCAACUUUUGUUGUCGUGGGGGCUUCUUGUAUGCAAGUAAGAGCAUGAUGUUGGAUCAUAGUGUUGAUUGGAUUGUGGAAAUUGUAGGAUGAUAAUACUGUGUUGUUUUGAUCUGACCCUCGUGAGGGAUUAUAUAGAGUACAUGGUGGGAUAGAGACUUGGAGUACAAGACAAGACAAUUACUAAUUCUAUCUCUAACUCAAGCACAUUAUACUUCUAACAUUCCCCCCAAGCCGUAGUGGGCGUGAAGCGGACGAUUGCGACUGAAUUUGAGGUCUUGUCCUCUUUGCGCCAAUAUAUGUUGUUGAGAGGCACCCAUCUUGCUAAUUGGUGUGUCAAAUUUUACAUGGACAGUAUAGUUGUGUGAUUAUUGAGUGGUCCAGUGAGUAGUGUUGCUAUAUGCAAAGGAAUGAUAGAAUGAUGAGUUUGUAAAGUGAGUAAGGGCAUAUCAAUAAUUCAACCCGGAACCCGGGCUCAGAUGAACCCGGUGAACAGUACCACAAUUUAAAAUAGAAACAAAGUUCACAAAAUUCUAAAUAUUUUUGUGGUGCAAGAUGCUCAUGUGCGCGAACUCCAUGAUUUUUUUUGUGAAGUUUGGAUAUUUGAGGAGGUCAUGGAAAAAAAAGACAAAAUCAGGCGUGAACAAUGUGAUUUUCAAAAGUUUCUCAGACAUUCGAGGCGUGAACAGUGUGAUUUUCAAAAAAGACAAAUUUCGGAUGUCCGAGAAACUUUUGAAAAUCGCAUUGUUCAUGCCUGAUUUUUUUUUUUGCCACGAGCUCCUCGAAUAUCCAAACUUCACAAAAUUUUGCACAGUGUUCACAUACAGGAGCAUCUUACACCACAAAAUUGUUUUGGAAUUUUUGAAACUUCUUUCUAUUUAAAAUUGCCGUACUGUUCAGGCCCGGGCUCAUCUGAGCCCGGGAGCCAAAUCGCUGCUCUCCAUAUCGAUAGACUCAGUGCUCUACCUUCUGACAUAUAUAAGAAUGUGCGGAGUGUACUACUUAUGGAUGUAAAAAGGAAGUUUUCCUGAUACAUCCAUGUAAUGGUGGAUCGAUCGUAUGCUUAAUAAAGGUAAAAAUAUUUGUCUGGUUUUCCGCUCAUAGGUUGGUCAACUUUUUCUGGUGCCUUGGAUCUUUAUCCAAUUGGCAGGUAGUAUCUUUUAAUCAUCAUUAUUGAACAUAUAUAUGUUAGUUUGCCUGAAUAUACUUGCACAAUACGUACUAAGUAGCCAUUUCUAUUCAACUAUAAUGUUUCACUAACUUGUUAAGCAACUGAUACAGCUGACCCUGAGAUCCGAGAUCUAUUUUUUGUACUCAUCAACACGAUAAUCUUUGGUGACCAAGAAUGAAAUUUGGAAUCAGACCUUUUUUGGCAUUACAACAUAUGACAUGGAAGGACGGCCUUUUCAUCCUCCACCAGUCGCCUACAGUAUUUUAUUUGUCAUCAACCAUUUCUAUGUUUAAUUCUCAUUUAUUGUGAAAUGAUUUAUUUGAGCACUUUAGCGAGCUACUCUUUGUUUUUGCAUUCAGUGACAAUGGGUAGGUGCAACCUUCGGAGAAAAGUGUGUCAAGGCAGCAAUUAUAGUUGGUAACAUGAGCUGCCCCAGUCGCAUAGCAGUGUUCUGGCCAAGAUGGUAC